UCACCUCUCCUCUAACUCUCUGUCUCACGGCGGGAAGAAGAAAAUAAAGAAGAAAGCAAUCUCUAACUCUCUCUCUCUCGUGGAGGCUCCGACUCCUUUUGCACAGCUUUUUUCGGACGUCAUUAACAGGUUGGUGAAAUAAUACCUUCAAGAUCUGAAAAUGAACAAAAUACAGGACAAAGUGAAUGUAUUGUAUCAUAUGGACAUCGACGGGGACCCAAUAGUGGAGCUCAGAUCCCAAAUCAUCCAAGUAAAAGGACAAAAGUGACAGUGGUGAACAAUCGGUAAUUUCAAAAGCUUCUAAAAUUGAGUUUAAUAUAUUCAUAAACAAUGUUAGCUCUAUUUCUUAAUUUUAUUUAUUUUUUAAAUUUAUUCUAUCAAAAUAGAUUUAUUGAAAGUGGUGUUACACGAAAUCUCACAAAAUGAUAUUAAAGGCAUUUUCACUGAGGUAUGGCCAAGAUGGCACGCAGUGCCAAAAGCAUCUAAAGAUUUGUUAUGGGAGAACUUCAAGUUGAGGUAUUGGUGGAAUAAUCUAACCGAUGAGGAAAUGAGGAAGGGGUGGAAUGAAAAUGCAAGUGAUCGAUUCAAAGAGAUGAUGUACAAGGCUAAGCAAAAGGCAUUGAAUGAUACUCACAAACAGUUAGGUAGAGAACUAGAAAUGAGUGAUAUGAUUGAUAGAAGUCCUUAUUGGUUGAAUAAUCAAUUAUGGAAUGAUCUAUUUCAGAAGUAUUGGGCCUCAGAAGAUUAUUUAGUAAAAUGUCGAACUGCCCGAAAAAAUCAUUUGAUUGAAAAAGAUGGUUCGAUAACAAAACAGACUGGUGGUUCUAUUCAAGUAGAGGCACAUA